GUGGGGAAUCUUGCGCAAUGGGCGAAAGCCUGACGCAGCCAUGCCGCGUGAAUGAUGAAGGUCUUAGGAUUGUAAAAUUCUUUCACCGGGGACGAUAAUGACGGUACCCGGAGAAGAAGCUCCGGCUAACUUCGUGCCAGCAGCCGCGGUAAUACGAAGGGGGCUAGCGUUGCUCGGAAUUACUGGGCGUAAAGGGCGCGUAGGCGGACAGCUUAGUCAGAGGUGAAAGCCCAGGGCUCAACCUUGGAAUUGCUUUUGAGACUGUAUGACUAGAGAUCUAGAGAGGUUGGGGGAAUUCCGAGUGUAGAGGUGAAAUUCGCAGAUAUUCGGAGGAACACCAGUGGCGUAGGCGCCCAACUGGCUAGAUACUGACGCUGAGGUACGAAAGCGUGGGGAGCAAACAGGAUUAGAAACCCCAGUAGUCC
rnacentral:rRNA from 1 species